CAGGGAUUGCCCUAGUAACGGCGAGUGAAGCGGCAACAGCUCAAAUUUGAAAUCUGGCUACUUUGUAGUCCGAGUUGUAAUUUGUAGAGGAUGCUUUUGGUGAGGUGCCUUCCGAGUUCCCUGGAACGGGACGCCAUAGAGGGUGAGAGCCCCGUACGGUUGGAUGCCAAACCUUUGUAUAGCUCCUUCAACGAGUCGAGUAGUUUGGGAAUGCUGCUCUAAAUGGGAGGUAUAUCUCUUCUAAAGCUAAAUACCGGCUAGAGACCGAUAGCGCACAAGUAGAGUGAUCGAAAGAUGAAAAGCACUUUGAAAAGAGAGUUAAACAGCACGUGAAAUUGUUGAAAGGGAAGCGCCUAUGACCAGACUUGUUUCUUUCAGUUUUGCUAGUUUUCGGACUGGUUUACUCUGUUAGUACAGGCCAGCAUCAGUUUGUUGUCGGGGAGAAAGGCUUUGGGAAUGUGGCUCCCUCGGGAGUGUUAUAGCCCUUUGCAUAAUACCCUUCGGCAGACUGAGGACCGCGCUUCGGCAAGGAUGCUGGCGUAAUGGUCAUCAGCGACCCGUCUUGAAACACGGACCAAGGAGUCAACCUUAUGUGCAAGUGUUUGGGUGUAAAACCCCAGCGCGUAAUGAACGUGAACGUAGGUGAGAGCUUCGGCGCAUCAUCGACCGAUUCUGAUGUUCUCGGAUGGAUUUGAGUAAGAGCACACAGGGUUGGACCCGAAAGAAGGUGAACUAUGCUUGUAUAGGGUGAAGCCAGAGGAAACUCUGGUGGAGGCUCGCAGCGGUUCUGACGUGCAAAUCGAUCGUCAAAUAUGAGCAUGGGGGCGAAAG
rnacentral:rRNA from 1 species